GGGGGGGGAGGGGGAGAGAGAGAAACAUUUAUUAAACCGGCAAAAUACUCUGCUAGGAGUCUCAACUCUCCAAAAGGAUAGUUUGCCUCGAGGCAGGGGAUGCAGUGAAUAAUAGAUCCAACUGGAAUGAUUCACAGGCUUUUAUCUUCCCGGUCACCUGUUUGGGGAACAAUGGAACAAUCAGGAGAUCAUCUUCAUGAGCUUUGGAUGGGAAGUGGCAGCUUUACAGGCAAUAGCACUUCCUCCCAGGUGGAAGAGUUCUGGAAUUGUUUUCAUGAUUGCAUCAAUGAGGUUGGCUAGUCCCUGCGGAAAUGAAAUUGUGCUUCUGAUGCCUGGCCAUUUGCUACUGAAUUCUGGUGGUGCAAUCAUGGGGAUCUGCGGUGAGCCCCCAAAAGCAGCUUAGCCAUCAUAGAGUGCCCAACCUGAUUUAGAAGACAGCUAGACAUCUUUCUGUGUAUUUUUAAAUGAAUUGAACUUCCAGCAGCUGUAAGAUCCACACAUCUGGAAGAAACAGGCAGGAAGAAAAACAAAUUGCUAAAACCUGGCUGAAAGCAUGUUGAAGUAGAGAAAUAUCUCAGGGAGUAUGAGAUGAGGGUAAGGCAGGGGUGCAGAAAGUGUGGCCUGGGUAUCCCAUGUGGCUGACUAUCUCUUUUGUGCAUGGAACUAAAGUGAUUUAAGAACAAAGUGGGUUUGUAAAUCUUGCUGUUGCUAAGGCACUCAUUUUAUCCCUUAAAACCUCUGAGCCAACAUCCCGGUUGGAUCUACCACCCUCCACUUUUGGAAUGCUGCCUUCAACAUGCCACACAAAGCCUGCCACAGCCCACAAACCAGCAGAGGUAGCGCACCUUUGACAUAAUGGAUCUACUGCCUUGUAGGAAACUCCUGGGUGUUGUGCAAAAUCAUGCAUAUUAAAAACAACAAAUCCCACCAUAAAAUCACAUUGAUACUAGCUACUUGAGGGCUGAGAGGAAUGACUGGCCCAAGAUCACCCAGCUGGCUUCAUGCCUAAGGAAGGACUAGAACUCAUGGUCUCCUGGUUUCUAGCCUGAUGCCUUAACCACUACACCAAACUGGCUCUCACAGAUGUUGGGGAGGAGCUAUGGAAAGCAUGGUCUGGACAGGCCACCACUGGACAAAAUGGAGGAAGAGGCCUGAAAUUGGAAAUGGAUUUCUUAAACCAGCUUCAUUUCUAGCCAGGUUAUCCCUUCAGCAUCUUAAGGAUUCAGUGUGGGAAAAGCUCUAAGUGUUCUCACUUUGCUGAAAAGAAUUUGCUUCAGGAAUCCUUUCAAAGAAGAUGAUUUCAUGAUAUUCUUGCACUUACUUAGCGAUGAGAUGGCUGAGAAACCA